UUGCCAGCCCGCUCAGAAACUCAAAGGAAUUGACGGGGCCCGCACAAGCGGAGGAGCAUGUGGUUAAUUCGAUGAUACGCGAGGAACCUUACCUGGGCUCGAACGUAAGAUGACUGUAGGUGAAAGCUUACAUCUCUUCGGAGCAUUUUACGAGGUGCUGCAUGGUUGUCGUCAGCUCGUGCCGUGAGGUGUCGGGUUAAGUCCCAUAACGAGCGCAACCCCUACCUUUAGUUGCCAUCAGGUUAAGCUGGGGACUCUAAAGGAACUGCCUACGCAAGUAGUGAGGAAGGCGGGGAUGACGUCAAAUCAGCACGGCCCUUACGUCCAGGGCUACACACGUGCUACAAUGGCCGAUACAGAGGGCAGCUACCUGGUGACAGGAUGCAAAUCUCCAAAGUCGGUCUCAGUUCGGAUCGGAGUCUGCAACCCGACUCCGUGAAGUUGGAUUCGCUAGUAAUCGCGCAUCAGCCAUGGCGCGGUGAAUACGUUCCCGGGCCUU
rnacentral:rRNA from 1 species